GAUAGCGGCUUAGGAACCAUCGCCGCUGCCACUGCGACCGCCGUUGUUGCUGCCUCUCCUCAACGACCUUUCAACUCAGCAGAGGUCACGGGAGUGACAGCGAAAAAAGGCGCCCGAAUGUCAGAGCGUCGUUGGGCUGAGGAGCGGUGCCAUCUGCUCACGGCCUGGCCAGUGUGAGAGUGUGGAGCGGUGUGCUGGUGACUUUAGCAGAAGCACUACUGUCAAAGACCUUGCUCCCACCAGAGUCAUGGCUCCAGUAACCUUGCAGUGGUGAGGAUGAUGAGCACAGUCCCCAGCUGGCGAUCCCAUCACCUGUCAGCCCCCAACCCCAACAUGCCUGCUCCACCCAACCCAGCCCACUUAGACAAACUGCUGCAGCAUCUGCUCGAACCUAGAUGUGUCUGCACAAACAUAGCACCACAAGACCCUUGAGCUUCUGGGAUUCUCUGGGAAAUGAUGACAUUCAUUUCAGUGGUUCAGUCCAACCCAGUGGAUACUCCCCCGCUGGAGAACCAGUGUCCAGCUGGUCCGAAAGCCACAAGGCUAUCCAAGCCACAUGUUGCAUUCUGGACGGUGGGUUGCUGACGGACUGCUCUGAACACUUAUUGUUUCAUAAAACAGAUGUGAGGACCAGCACUGCUGUCACCUCCUUGAGAAGAAAACUGACGCUUGCCAACGCAUAACUGUCAACAUUGUCGUUCCCCCUCCCUCCCCCCUCUUCCCCUACACACACACACACACACACACACACACACACAUACUAAAAAAGAUGGAGAAUAAAGCAGAAACCUGAAGAUAGAGGGAGAGAGGAGGCCUGGCCAAGGACUUUUAUGAGAGAAGAGGAUAUAUUUAUGGCACCGUUACACUAAUGGAAACAGACUUAACAACGCAUGGCAGGAAAGAGCUCUUAACAAAUUAGGGUCGUGUUUCUUUUCUCCCCUUCAAAGAAAUAAAGGAAGAAAGAGAGAAAAAAGAAAGAAAGGAAAAAAAAAAAAAAGACUGUCGAAGUGCUAACCUGCAUGGCUGGUUUUAAACAUGACAAGUGCUCAUUGCUUUACAGUCCCAGUCCCUUUGCCAGGGAUUGCAUUACUGGAAUAACCGCUACGCAAAAGGUCCACCAUAACUUCAGGGUGA